CAAACCCUGGCCCGCUGUGUCGAGGAGUAAACCUCGGUCAACUGAGCUAUCUGGACACCUUGAUGUGAAAUUUCUGAUGGAUUUUAAAUAACACAAAACAAAGCAUAAAGUCAUGUAUAAAACAGUCUGUAGAGAAGAAACGGCUCACUUUCCUGACAUGGGAGACAGAUCAUUGAUUUGGCACAUGAAAUAAGGUUUUGAAAUAACCACAAGCACUCCUGCAACCUUCAGUCUAUUGCUAGGAUUUAAACAUACAGACCUACAUGAUACAGCAGCCAUUAGGUGCAAUGAUUUCUCUGAAUGGCCAGAUAAUGGUCACCCUAUAGGGGGCAAAUACCAUUCCAUCAUGACAAUGUCCGCAAUGCUGCAAACCUGACCGUGAAGUCAUAAACCUGGAUGAAGCCAGACUCCUUCCAUGACUAGCACGUGUGACCAUGAAUGAACCUUUUCAGGAAGUAUAUCGAUCAGUUUCAGCAUGAGACUCUCGAUGGACCACUACAACA